rnacentral:rRNA from 1 species
ACUCAAAUGAAUUGACGGGGGCCCGCACAAGCGGUGGAGCAUGUGGUUUAAUUCGAUGCAACGCGAAGAACCUUACCUGGAUUUGACAUCCUCGGACAACCCUAGAGAUAGGGCUUCCCCUUCGGGGGCCGGGAGACAGGUGCUGCAUGGCUGUCGUCAGCUCGUAUCGUGAGAUGUCGGGUUAAGUCCCUUAACGAGCGCAACCCUUGUCUCUAGUUGCCAUCAUUUAGUUGGGCACUCUAGAGAAACCGCCGGUGUUAAACCGGAGGAAGGUGGGGAUGACGUCAAGUCCUCAUGGCCUUUAUAUCCAGGGCCACACACGUGCUACAAUGGCAGAUACAAAGGGUCGCUAACCCGCGAGGGGGAGCUAAUCUCAGAAAGUCUGUCUCAGUUCGGAUUGAAGUCUGCAACUCGACUUCAUGAAGCUGGAAUCGCUAGUAAUCGCAGAUCAGAACGCUGCGGUGAAUACGUUCCCGGGCCUUGUACACACCGCCCGU